UCUUUAUAUCUUAUACAAGCUCAUUUACCAACAAAAUGUCUUUGUAGUCGAAAAGCCACCAGCUCGUGUCAAUAAUUUUUUGGGGUGACUAUAUUAUAUUUCGACUUUUACAGGGGCAAUGUGUCAAUUAUACUUACUGUAUGGGCUAUAAUCCAAUUAACUCGAAAGUAUAUACAGUAUAUUGUUUUGAGGAUAAAUUUGUCAUUGCACACGUAAAGCGGAGGAGAGACGCUUCCAUCCCCGCCGUCGAGGACUCUGACGUUCAAACCAAACCUCUGUUUACAAAAUCUCCAAAUACUUCAGGAAACUCAGGUAAUCGCCGAUUGGAUGCUUUCGCGCGUCUCUCCGCUCCUCCGCUCUUCACCGCCAUCCAUGGCGGCGCGUGUUCUUUCCCUAACAUGUCCUACCGUCAUUCAUCUCCCUUCGACGAUUCCGCAUCAACCGCCGCGUCCUGGUUGGAAGGUGUCGAUGUCGUGUUCGGAGUCUGUCUCUGUUGUUGGAAGCAGAGGAUUUGCUAGCAAUGAUAACUCGUACAUCGCGCGUCGAUUCAGGAGCAGAAAUGGCAGUUUCGCCCUGGCGGCGGCUGCAAAGAGGGAAUAUCGGAAGUUCAGGGGGAGAAGAGCGGCGAAGAAGAGUAAGGAUAAGGAGCUCGAGCUGAGUGUGAGGAUUUGCCUCGAAGAACAGUUACCCGAAGAUCCUGAGAUUAUGGAUAUUGCAGAAAUGAUGCGUCUCAAUGCUCCAAUGGCAAUGAAGUUAGCAUUCGAGCGAUUAAGUGAUUCAGAAUAUAAAACAAGGGAUGCUUCUAUACAUGAUGUUGGCUGUUUUAAGACUGUUGAGCUUUCGGUACUACUUUGCAAUGAUGAGUUCAUUAGGAAACUUAAUAAGGAAUGGAGAGAUGAAGAUCAUGCUACUGAUGUCCUUUCAAUGUCCCAACAUAUACCUGAACUCAAGCUUCCCAUUCUAAUGAUGGGAGACAUUGUGAUUUCUGUUGAGACAGCUGCACGCCAGGCAGAGGAGAGGGGGCACACACUUAUUGAUGAAAUACGAAUUCUCAUGGUUCAUGGAUUACUGCAUCUUUUGGGAUUUGAUCAUGAACUAAGUGACGAGGCAGAAGAAGAAAUGGAGAAUGAGGAAGAAUAUUUAUUAAAUGGUCUUGGUUGGAAAGGGAAAGGUCUGAUUCAAAGUGCAUGUGAUGCUGGUGCAAAUGGAAGUACACAUCUUGUGUAUUCAGAUGACAGGAAGAGAGUAGGCAGUCUCCGAUUUUACAAGCCAAAGUAUGGUUAUAUCUUCUGUGACAUGGAUGGUACACUACUAAACAGCCGAAGCCAAAUUUCUGUAUCAACUGCUGAAGCUCUAAAAGAAGCCUCAUCAAGGGGUGUUAAAAUUGUGAUAGCUACUGGAAAAUCUCGUCCAGCUGUAAUUCGUAUUUUGAAGACGGUAAAUUUGGCUGGUAGUGAUGGCAUUGUCUCGGAGUUCUCUCCUGGUAUUUUUGUACAGGGGUUGCUUGUCUAUGGCAGGCAUGGUCAGGAAAUAUUUCGAAGGAAUUUGAAUUCGAAUGUCUGCAUUGAGGCGCUUCAAUACUCUAUUGAGCAUAAAAUUCCAAUUAUUGCCUUCAGCGAGGACAGGUGCUUAACAUUGUUUGAACACCCUCUUGUGGACUUGUUGCACACUGUAUAUCAUGAGCCGAAGGCGGAGAUCAUACCUUCAGUUAAGCAGCUCCUGGCGACUGGAAAUGUACAGAAACUGCUCUUUUUAGACACUACUGAGGGAGUUUCUGGUACUUUGCGACCAUACUGGGAGGAAGCAGUAGGGGAUCGUGCAUCCGUUGUCCAAGCAGUAUCGGAUAUGCUUGAAAUCGUUCCGCCUGGGACCUCGAAGGGAAAUGGUGUGAGAGUGCUUCUUGAUCAUCUCGGUAUUUCUGCAAAAGAGGUGAUGGCUAUCGGUGACGGAGAGAAUGAUGUGGAGAUGCUCGAGCUGGCUUCUCUAGGCAUUGCUCUUAGCAAUGGAUCGGAGAAAGCUAAAGCUGUAGCGAAUGUAAUUGGCGUCAGCAACGACGAAGAUGGAGUAGCUGAUGCAAUAUAUCGAUACGCAUUCUGAUCAUUUAUAUUUGAUUCAGUAAGGGUGGUCUGAUCUGAUCUUUGCUGCUGCCAUUGAUUUUAAGAUCUAAGGUUAUUUCUUCUCAAGAAACAUCUCAUCCAUAAAUGAAAAGAGAACAAAAUAAAAAUAAGGGUAAGAAGAUAAAAAUAGCAUACAGUGGGGACAGCGCUGGCAACACAUGCAAUUGAAGCAGCUUUGGCUCCUGCGCGCACCGAUUCUGCAACUCAGGAAACAUGAUGACAGACGCAGGUUAGUUUUCUGCUUAGGAACUUGUUUUUCUGAAGACUUAAAAAGUUCAAAAAAAUCAAUAGAAUCCUAAUUGUAUACAAACCCUAACUAUCGACUAGUAUCAGAAAUCAACAAGAAGGAGCACGCAAUCUCUAAUCACAUGAAAAUUGAAAAUUCUCCACAAAAACUAGAAGAAAUAAAUACACGAUCUACUCUCUCGCAAACCACGAUAUGUACCUAACCGCCAGAGAAUGAACAAAAGUACCUGAUGCAAUCAAUAUAAAACAAAAUAGAAACGAACUAAAAUGGGGAAAUCAGAAAGACUCCUCUAAUAAUUUCCUUAAAACAACACAAUAAUUACCAAAAAAUAAAAAACACGGAUCAGUCAACCUUGAGUACACUGCUUUGUGCGAAGAGAUUUCUCAUCCUCAAACGGAGAUUGAAUCACCAAAGCAUUCCUCCGAUUCGCGAGAAAAUCCUUAAUUUCUGACGGAAUCCCCAUUUCCCCCAAA